rnacentral:rRNA from 1 species
GAUCCUGGCUCAGGAUGAACGCUAGCUACAGGCUUAACACAUGCAAGUCGAGGGGCAGCGGGAUUGAAGCUUGCUUCAAUUGCCGGCGACCGGCGCACGGGUGAGUAACGUGUAUCCAACCUUCCGUACACUCAGGGAUAGGCCUUUCGAAAGAAGAUUAAUACCUGACUGGUAUCUUAAGCACACAUGUAAUUAAGAUUAAAGAUUUAUCGGUGUACGGUGGGGAUGCGUUCCAUUAGGUAGUAGGG